rnacentral:rRNA from 1 species
AUUGAACGCUGGCGGUAUGCUUAACACAUGCAAGUCGAACGGUGAGAAAGAGCUUGCUCUUUCGAUUAGUGGCGGACGGGUGCGUAACGCGUAGGAAUCUACCUAUUAGUGGGGGACCACUUAGGGAAACUUAAGCUAAUACCGCAUACGCCCUACGGGGGAAAGAAGGGGAUCGCAAGACCUUUUGCUAAUAGAUGAGCCUGCGUAGGAUUAGCUAGUUGGUGGGGUAAAAGCUCACCAAGGCGACGAUCCUUAACUGGUUUGAGAGAAUGAUCAGUCACACUGGAACUGAGACACGGUCCAGACUCCUACGGGAGGCAGCAGUGGGGAAUAUUGGACAAUGGGCGAAAGCCUGAUCCAGCAAUACCGCGUGUGUGAAGAAGGCCUUAGGGUUGUAAAGCACUUUCAAUUGGAAGGAAAACCUCGAAACUAAUACCUUCGAGUUUGACAUUACCUUUAGAAGAAGCACCGGCUAACUCCGUGCCAGCCGCCGCCGUAA